UUCUGCCUUAUCUCUUCAUCUUUCCAAAUCCUCUGAGUUCUCCGUGUGCAGAUCUGUUGGGUCACCCAUGAAUGUGACCCAGGGAAGAAAUUCAAGUCUCUGAGUCAAAACACAGUCAUCGUGCAAAUUCAUUGCAGUAUGAAGUUCCCCUUGUCAUUGGAGGAAAAAAUCACCACAAUCCUCCCUCUCCUCAAGCUUUGUUUCUGCAUGAAGUGGAAAGAAGAGUGACCUCAGCUCUGCACACUUGGCGACAAAGAAUCUUCACAAGAGACUUCCAGUUUAUACUGGUCCACAGCAUCCCUGUCUCAUGCUGAUCACCCUGGGCACUGAGAGAAACCUCACCAAACUUCGGAUCCAGAAGAAGAUCUGAAGUUACCAGAGGAACUUUCUACAGGAAAUCAAUCCACCCUCCAACUCCCCAUCUGCAAAAACAAGCUAUGCAACAAAGAAAUGCUUCUCACUGACUUCAGGUGACCAGCAGCAAUUGCCCUGAAGCAAUGGGAAAGCAAUGGUGGUAGUGACAGCACAGAUGGUCCCAGAGCAGGCUUGUGUCCAGCUACAGGCUGAGCAGUGCAAAGCCAAUUCUGUGAGCGCAGCUUGAAAAUGCUUGUGGUAAAC
rnacentral:lncRNA from 1 species